GGGGGGGGCAAGCGUUGUUCGGAAUUACUGGGCGUAAAGGGCUCGUAGGCGGCCAACUAAGUCAGACGUGAAAUCCCUCGGCUUAACCGGGGAACUGCGUCUGAUACUGGAUGGCUUGAGAUUGGGAGAGGGAUGCGGAAUUCCAGGUGUAGCGGUGAAAUGCGUAGAUAUCUGGAGGAACACCGGUGGCGAAGGCGACAUCCUGGACCAAUACUGACGCUGAGGAGCGAAAGCCAGGGGAGCAAACGGGAUUAGAUACCCCGGUAGUCCUGGCCCUAAACGAUGAAUGCUUGGUGUGGCGGGUAUCGAUCCCUGCCGUGCCGAAGCUAACGCAUUAAGCAUUCCGCCUGGGGAGUACGGUCGCAAGGCUG
rnacentral:rRNA from 1 species